ensembl:lncRNA
AUGCAUACUGUGAUGCACUUUCUCAAUAUGCCAGUUGUCACUGCAAGUUACUGUGGUGGCAUUUUGCCAGCUGCUUACCCAUCCGUUGCAGCUUUUAUCUUUUUUCUCUUCUUAGUUCUCAGUCCGAGGUCACGUGUGUCAGACACUUCCCCAUUAAUCUUAAUUCUGUCGGGUAUAUGCUCUGUAAUGCUCUCUCUCUUCUUUCAUGUCCGUCUUUUUCCUUACAUAGUCACUGCAGGGUUGGGUAAAAUUCUGAAUUUCUUUCAGUUCCUGAGUUGGAAUUUGAACUGGAAUGACAGGAAAUUGAAACUAUUGAAUUGCAGUUUAGAUAAAUUAAACAUGGUCACACAACAAAGGAAUUUAAUUAGUUAUGCAACAAUUCAAAAGAAUCAUCAAUAGCGUUUUGGGUGACAUGAUUAAUCAAUUUGUCUUUGUGUAUUUGGAUGAUAUUCUGAUUUUCUCCCCCUCUCUCCAAUUACACACCCAGCACGUCACACGGGUCCUCCAGCGUCUCUUAGAGAACCAGUUGUUCGUCAAGGCGGAGAAGUGCGAAUUCCACGCCGAGUCUGUUACGUUCCUUGUCCAUAUCAUCUCUACCAAGGGGAUUAAACGAGACCCUGCCAAGAUAGAAGCAGUCGCCAAGUGACCAGUCCCUGAUUCCCAUAAGGCUCUGCAGCAUUUCCUGUAUUUUGCCAACUUCUAUCGGCAAAACAUCAAGAAUUUUGGCCAGAUCGCUGCACCUCUCACAGCUUUAAACUCCACCAAGGUGUCCUUCAGAUGGAACCAGGAUGUUCAGGUAGCCUUUGACAUAUUAAAGUCCCGUUUUGUCUCCGCACCUGUUCUGUUGGUUCCAGAUCCUGAGGCCCAGUUCAUUGUCGAGGUAGACGCUUCGGACGUCGGGUUGGCACAGUUCAAUCUCAGCGUUCCCUCCACGAUGGGAAGGUGCAUCCCUGUGCAUUCUUCUCUCACCGUCUGAGCCCUGCAGAACGUAAUUAUGACAUUGGCAAUAGAGAACUGUUGGCAGUGAGGUUUGCCUUGGGUGAGUGGCGUCACUGGUUGGAGGGGUCAGCGCAGCCCUUCUUGGUCAAGAACCUUGAAUAUAUCCAUUCGGCCAAGAAGUUGAGCUCACGUCAGGCCCGCUGGGUGCUCUUCUUUGGUCGAUUGAACUUCACCCUCUCGUACCGGCCGGGAUCUAAGAACAUCAAGCCCGAUGCUCUCUCGCACCUGUUCGGGGCCCCAAAGGGGGAGCUUUCAGCAGAAGCCAUCCUUUCUGAAGGGGUGGUGGUCGGGGCUCUUUCUUGGGGCAUCAAGCAGCGACUUGAGGAGGCCGGUCGAGGGGUGCAAGUGCCUGGGAGGUGCCUGCGGGCAGUUUGCCGGUGUCAGCUGCACUGCGCCCUGAGGUCCUUCAGUGGGGGAUCCAGGGAUUCAGAGAACAUUGUUUGCCAUCCGUCAAAGCUUCUGGUGGCCUGCUUUGGCUGCGGAUGUCAGACAGUUCUUGUUGGCCUGCCCCACAUGUGCCCAAUGUAAGCCAGUGAAUCACCCUCCUGAUGGUCUGCUUAAUCCUCUUCCUGCCCCUUCCCGUCCUUGGUCACACAUUGCCCUUGAUUUUGUCUUUGGGCUUCCCCUAUCGAAGGGUAACACUGUGAUUCUCAUUGUGGUGGAUCGCUUUUCUAAGGCGGUUCAUUUCAUUCCCCUGCCCAAACUGCCCUCCACCCAGGAGACUGCCCAACCGGUUGUGGAUCACGUCUUCCGUCUCCAUGGUUUGGCGUCGGAUGUGGUUUCACAUAGGGGUCCUCAGUUCACCUCCCGGUUCUGGAAAGAGUUUUGUAGACAGAUCGGGGCCUCUGCAAGUCUGUCUCUUGAAAGAAUGCUCCGCUGUCUGACAUCCAACAAUCCAAGUUCCUGGUGCUAACAGCUCUCUUGGAUAUAAUACGCUCAUAAUUCCCUUCCAGUGGCGGCUUCAGGUAUGUCUCCUUUUGAGUGUGCUGUAGGUUAUAAACCGCUUCUGUUUUCAUCACAGGAACCUGAUGCUGCAGUUCCGUCCGCCCUGCUGCCGUACCUGGGAGAAAGUCAGGAGGGUUUUGGUUAGCCGUCCCGGGACAUUUUGGACCGUUCGUUGAUCGAGGACUUCCAUCGGCGACGAGGUAGGCCUCCUCCUGGGGCACCUGGUGGCGCUCCUGGGAGGGGGGUACUGUCGGGUCUCUGGUCUAAUCACCUGUUCUUUGGUUUGGGUUUUGAGUGUUGUGUGUGUGUGUGUGUGUGUGUGUGUGUGUGUGUGGAUUGUUUGACAGCUCGCUACGUGCGCAUUGUCGGUGUAAUUGUUUCCCCGCCCUCCUUGUUUCUCUUCUCAUUAACUUAUUUUGUUCUCCCACCUGGUCCUUGUUACCUCUAAUUUCUCCCCUUUAUAGUUCCUUGUGUUUCUCUGUCGUUUGUCAGACUGUUGUGGUUAAUCCCAAUUGCUCUGAAUGUCUUGCUGGUCUUGCUUACCUAUCAUGUCUUGUCUUGUCAGGCUCCAGUGCUCGUAGCUGUAUUGUUUUCUGCCCCUCUCCCUGUGCUCAGUUUCCCAAGGAUUUCCCUUUGAGUUUCAUCCACCCUGGGUCUCAGCGGUCGUGUUAGUGGAUGCUCAGCCUCUCACUCAGAAGGAAGCAUUAAGUGCUCCAAAAUUUCUUGGUAAACGAGUGCAGUGACUUUGGUUUUCAAAAAACACAAUGGACCAACACCAGCAGAUGACAUUGCCCCCCAAAUCAUCACAGACUGUGGAAACUUAACACUGGACUUCAAGCAACUAUGAGCUUCUCCACCCUUCCUCUAGACUCUAGGACCUUGGUUUCCAAAUGAAAUACAAAACUUGCUCUAAUCUGAAAAAAAGGACUUUGGACCACUGGGCAACAGUCCAGGUCUUCUUCUCCUUAGCCCAGGUAAGACGCCUCUGACGUGGUUUAACAAGAGGAAUACGACAACUGUAGCCAAAUUCCUUGACAAGUCUGUGUGUGGAUAUAUACAUACAUAUAUAUAUAUAUAUAUAUAUAUAUAUAUAUAUAUAUAUAUAUAUAUAUAUAUAUAUAUAUAUAUAUAUGCUAAGUAGAAACUACCUUUAUUCUCAGAAACAAAUAUGAAGCACAUUAGCUUCAGAAACAGGCUUUGUAACGACAUUUAGCAGAGUAAAAUUUGAUUGAGAAUAUAUCAUAUUUCCAGCAGAUCUGUUUUGAGACAGUCCCUACGAGCGCUGAUGUUUUAGUUAUUUCACAGCUAAAGCUUGUAUGCACAAAGCCCACGCACCGGAAGAUGGAUUGCAGUGUUCAAAGACACCUACAAGAGGGGUCAUAUGACAAAGGAUUUGCUCUCUUUGAGCUAAUAAGCACAAGAAAGUAUGAGGAAUGAAAGCAAAUGACUUUGAGGAUUUAAAGGAAGGAGGGAGGUUCUUAAUCACAAACGCUUCCCCUCCCCAUGCCACUGUAGGUCUUUCUUCUUCCUCCUCAGCCUCUUACUUUCUUCCUCAUCCCUCUAUUAAUUCCUCUCCCCCUGUGUUCCAGAGAGGGAGAGAGGAUCUCCCAGGGGGUUUGCACAUCUGCUUUGAUCAGGGUGUCAGCGUGAGUGUGUCUGUGUGUUUCUUGUUGGUGCGCAUUUGUGCUAAAUAAAUCAUUUACACUAUGAGUACCUCGCUAGCUUUCAGGCCUCUCUAAAGACUUACAUCAUGCAGUGCCACAAGGACAUUUUCUGAAUCCUGCAUCUGCAGGAUUGACAAUGGUUCGGAUGGCCCCCUGUGGCGUUCCUGCUUGCUCUCUGUCAUUAAACACUUCCUCUCUGGAGGAACAACCCAGGAAUGAACAAAUCUGAUGUCAUAUCUAUAAACAAUGGGUAAUUUGAGUUGUCUUUGAUACAGAGUGUGUGUGUGUGUAUCCAAGGAUCCCGCUGUAUUAGGGCCGUCUGGAUGCGUUAUCGAGAGACGUGUAACUGACAGGCAAGUCAGCAACUUAGUGCAACACUUUGUACUCCUGUGCAAACAAAGUUUUGGCAUCAAAAAAAGGCUGUAAAUGGACUUUACAGAGUUUGGCUCCAAAGUCAAUGUUGCUUAGAUCACUAUAACAGUGAUUUGUUCAGAAAAGUGUUUCUUUUUUUUUAAGUGAGAUGUUUGACUCAUUACCAGCCCUUAUCCUAAUUCAGUGCUUAAUAGCCUAAGAAAAAACACUGAAAUACAUCACAAAAUCAGCUCAUCACACCUUGUUUUCUUGCUUAUGGCUUUCAGUGCUGUCGUUUGAAUGCUGCUGGCUUAAUAUAAACAUCAGUGGGUGUAGGCUGUCUCACAGUAUACUUAUACCACUUUCUGUUUCCAAAAUUUCAACUGAUGCAAAAUAUGAUGAAAAUAGAAUCCUGUUGUCUAUAUUGCCAGUUUUAGAUCUGUUUUAUUUUAUGUACACUACCACUCAAAAGAUUAAAAAUAAAUAAAUGUUGCUGACCCCAAACUUUUGACCAGUAGUGCAUGUGCUUUUAUGUUGGUCACACCAGAGCUAAAUUGUGAUACAUGAAAACAUUUUUUUUUUUUUUUUUUUUUUUUAGUUUUUAAUGAUGUAUAUGUAGCUAAUGCGAAUCCUUGAAUUUAUCACAUAUACUUUCAGAUAAAAUACUUUUUAUGAUUUCUAUUAAAAAUUAUCAGUUAAAAAGUGCCUGUCCAAGGUGCAUCCAUCAGUAGUUUUGUAGUACCUGCCAAAUAGGGAAACAAGCCCCUAGUUAAAGAGGCUCAAGUUCACCUCAUGUAAAGAUCCACUUUUGCUAAAACACUGUAAGAUUGUCAAAGAAGAAAGAUGCAGAAUGUCUGCAGUGCUGCUAAUAAUUUUCUAUAAUUAAGGAAUAGAUUUGUUGCCAAGGAUGUACAAAAUGGGCCCACACUGUGUUCCAGUCACAUUUGCGAUUAAUUUGUGAAAUAUGUCUGCACUCAUACUUUGUAUCUCCAAGAUGUACAGCAAGCUGUACUAGAAACUAAAUAAUAGAAGAGAUUUUAUAAAAUACCAGAGAGAUUAUGAAAUGCCAAGACAGCUUAAGUUAACUGGAAAUUGUUACCCAAUUUGCUUAAGUGCUUAUUUUAAAUAAGUAUGCUCUAAAAAGCAGAUAACCUAAAUAAAAAAAUAAAUAAAAAUAAAUAAAUAAAUAAAAAUAAUAAUAAUAAUAAUAAUAAUAAUAAUACAGUGCUUACAAAUGGGGACAAAGUUUACUGUAUAUAUAUAUAUAUAUAUAUAUAUAUAUAUAUAUAUAUAUAUAUAUAUAUAUAUAUUAUUAAAAAUAAACAUCAUUUAGCAUUUCU